GCUGUGUUUAACAUAACACAUUGCAUCAGAUGCCGAGGUUACGGACUGGCUUCAGAGUCAGUGGUUUCUGUUUCUGCAUCUAGUGAAGUAUCAGGUUCUGAUAUAAAAAUUAAAUAGUGUUUCAAGAUGACAGUUCUCCUGAGAAAAUACUGCUAUAUAAUAUCUUACUGGCAUCAAAAGAAAUAUUGGAGAAUAAAAAAGGAGAGAGAGAAAUGAGGAGAGCCCCACAAUUUGCCCCGGAUUUCUGCCUGGAUGCAUUUUCCAGUCCAUUGUGCAGAGAUGGAAGGAGGGUAGGGCAGCCAAGAAGAGCCUCCUGGAGAUCUUGCUGAAUUGAGGAGAGACAGGAGAAGCAGUAUCCUUCUUGUUGGAACGUUUGGAAGCUCAGGGUCUAUAUAACAUCAAGAAGAAUGUCUCCAUGAAUGCCUGGGCCAGAACAGAGAGCAGGUUCUACAUGUAGUCAAUGCUCUGUUAAAAUCUGGAUGUUGAAUUGGACUCUGGUUCAUAAAGAAAAAAAAGCAUACUGAAGUGCAUGUUGAUCUAUAUGCCUACCAUAUAGCUUGCUUUGAUAAUCUGUAUUUUUUGCUCACUACAAGGAAUGGUAAGGUCAAAUUUUCAUUGAAUAAUCUCUGUAUUUGUGGACAGAAAAACAUUGUCGUUUUUAAAUACUGUGACCACUUAAUUCCCCAUUUUUCCA